UUGUGUUUAACUUAGCGAAAGCUAAGUUGGUGCAAUAUUGACUAUGUCAAAUAAAGUUCUAGGUAGAAUUAUGAUUAUGACAUUGUUUAUCUAUGUGUCUUGACCAAAUUACGUGCCAGCAGUCGCGGUAACACGUAAUAGACUAGUGUUACUCAUCUUUAAUAGGUUUAAAGGGUACCUAGACUGCCAAUCAAACCCGCAAAAGGGUACUAAUUGGCUAGAGUUUAAUAUAAGGAGGCAUGAAAGUACUGAGAAUGUUGAGAGAUGAAAUACUGUGAUACUAUAUAUGGCACUGGUAAAGGCGAAAGCAUCUUAUUAUGUAAUAACUGACGUUGAGUGACGAAGGCUGUGUAUAGCAAAAAGGAUUAGAUACCCAAGUAGUCUCAGCAGAAAAUGAUGAAUGUCAUAGGAUAGAUUAAUUUUGUACUAUAAAUGAAAGUGUAAGCAUUCCACCUUAAGAGUAAUUUGGCAACAUUGGAACUGAAAUCAUUAGACCGUUUCUGAAACAAGUAGUGAAGUAUGUUGUUUAAUUUGAUGGUCCGCAAAAAACCUUACCACAAUUUGGAUGCAAAAUUUGUUAUACAUGCGCUGCAUGGUUGUCUUCAGUUAAUGUCGUGAGAUUGUGGUUAGUUCCAUUAAAUUAACGUAA
rnacentral:rRNA from 1 species